rnacentral:tRNA from 1 species
GCGCUCGUAGCUCAACCGGAUAGAGCAUCGGCCUUCUAAGCCGGGGGUUUUGGGUUCGAGUCCCAACGGGCGUA